CUAAUGAGUCCUUUCUAGCAAAGGUGUCAUCUGCUCAUUGCUUCCCUGUCACCCCCUGAGGGCUCACCCUGAAAACAGGGCUAGUCUACUAUGCUCCUUGUAUAACCUUUGUGUUUCUGUCGUGGUGGGUUCCCUCACACGCCACCAUUAUUUUGGACACGCUUGGGUCCUGUGUCGUGCCCAUGCAACAGUCUUGGCUUUGAGAAGGCCCACCUUACCCUGAACUUGACGCCUGAUCUCCCAUCAGCCCUCACUGACUCUGAACUCAGCAGAUUCUUCCUUCAUCACCCCCCAAAUGCUCCAUGCCAUUUUCUUGGUGUAUGUGCUACACAUGCAUGUUUGCGUGAUGCAUGCACUUGCUCCUGCAGAUGUGUGUCCAUGGGUAUGUGAAGCCAUCGUCUGAUAAAUAGUCUCCUUAAUUUUUGAGACAAGGUUCCCUCACCAAACCUGAAUCUCUGAGUGGCCAGUGAAGUCAAUGCCCCUCUCCUCCCAGGGCUGAGGUUAUAGACACACACCCACGGUGCCUGGCUUUUUACAAAGGUACCAAAGACUUGAACCCAGAUCCUCUUGCUCACCCUUGAUGCUAAUUUCCGUGUUACCCGAUAGUUUACCUUCUUGCUUGGUCCCAUCCUUUUCGGGAAGUCGUCUUUUACACUUCCGCUCCACUUCGACACACCCUUUCUGAACUGGCCUACCCCACCCCCACGCCCACCCCCCACCUACUCUUGUCGGAUCUGCAACGUGGCGUUCAUGGAAUUUUCAAAGUGGAUCCUGAGUUCCGAUUUUUAUCUUGAGUUUCUUCCGGUGCCUGCCAGGAGGAAGAGCUACGGCAGUGAUGUGAUACCUGGUUCUCGUGGGGACUGAUCUGCGCAGGAAAAUACCAACUUGCGCAUGGACAUCUGGAGGCCGGAUGUUGACAUAGACGACUUCCUCUAUUGCUCUCCACCUUAUUUUCUGAGGCAGGGGCUCUCACUGGACCCGGAGCUCACUGAUUGGCUAGACUCGCCGACCCGGGAGCCCCUGGGAUCUUCCUGUCUCCAACCCCACCCAAGAGCUGGGGUUACAGACACAGGCCACCAUGACUGGCUUUUACCCAGGUGCUCAGGUUCCCAACUCAGGUCCUCAGGACCUUACCUACUGAGUCAAACUCCCCCCAACCCCCGCCACUUCCUCAUCCUUAACUCCUAAUUGGGGACCUGUCCGUGUUCCCUACUCCAAGCAGCGUAUUUGUCCUGUGUCAUUGUCUUUCUUCCCUCCCUCUCUUGUCUCUAUGGAGUCUCAUUCAGUCUCUUCAUAUCCCCUUCAGAGUGAUUAUUUGGCUUUCAGAAUGUCCUCCUGUGAACGAAAACCCCAUGAUCUUUCAUUGCAACCAUUAGCAUCAUCGUAUUUUCUACCUAUCAGGAAGCAAUCCAUGGAGAAUAACCAGCGAUGUGUAAUUUAUGAAAUGACCUCUGCCUGCGCUAAGAAAAAAAAAAUUAACACAUAAACGAGAGAUGAGAUCACAGCUCCGUUUAUUAUUAGGAUCUCAAAGGUGUCUGCACACACGUAAGAAGCGCCUCUUACCUUCUGGCAGUUUCUGAGUCCAGGUGUGCGGCCCCUGGCGUUGGCCUGAGAGUACACUGCAUGGACUUUGAGCCCCAAUCGACACCCGUUCACAGGGCUGCUAAAGCAGUACCGUCACCUGACCGGACACUGUGGACUAUGGACUCUUCUGCAUGCUCAGCGGGGCUGGGGAGGCUCUGAGAAAAUCUAAACGCAGGGCUGGGAAGAUCGCUCAGUCACUAAAGUGUGAGGACCUGGACUUGGAUCCCCAAAAGCCCACAUAAAAAAGCUAGACAUGGCAGUGUGCUCUUGCCAUCUCAGGACAAGGUUAGGGACAGGGUCAGGUGCAUCCUGGGAGCCACAGACUAGCAAGGUCAUCUUAAAAAUUAGAGUGGAGGGUGAUAGAGGAAAAUAUCUAACGACCUGCUCUGGCUGGGGCACACGUGUGCACACGGAGGCAAUGAAAGGUGAGGAAGGGGGAUUGGAGGGAGGAAAGGGAAGGAAGGGAAGGAGGGGAAGGAAAUGAAAAAGAACCCAAAGAAGGGAAGAGGAGGUAGACCAGCUCCAUUGGAUACUUAGAUCUGUCCACAGGUCGCACGUUUUAGCACUCGUACUCCUUGGUUCUCUGUGCAGGAAUAUCACACCUUACUCAGCACAGCCAUCGCCGUAACUGAUUCAUGAAAGCAAAAUUGCCCAACCAAUGGGCCAGAAAUAUCAUUGCUGUGAGCAUAAUUCCUCUCUCCGCCUAGGGAUCCAAGGCUAAUCGUGUUGGCUCUCCUGUCUUGUUUUCCUCAUGAAACCGGGAGGGCAAAGACAACAGAAGCCCGUGAUUCCCACAUUCGUGCACCCCGAAGGAAGAACGGGGGUGGGCCAAUCCACAAGCCAAAGGGCCAGAGAUUUAGAGACUCCGCCUCCUAGCAUGUCAGAACUAAUAUUUCCUGAACUUUUCACUCUCUACGCACGAGACGAAGGACUGAAAAUAAAUCACUCUCAAGCGUUCAGAAGAAGAGGGUGGGCUUCAGGUCAGGAGGCAAGCCUGCACACCACACAUGGACGCCACACUAACCUCUGUGUGCCUUGUAUGAGAGAGAUGUGUGCACAAGGAAAUGCAUCGUUUCCGGUGAAGGUGCCCAACUUCCUCCCCCUGGCAUCCCUGAGGCAGGUGUGUGCUAGAGACUGCCCUGACUGGGCAGGCAAAAGGAAGAUAUGUAGACAGGGAAGGGCAGAGUAACGAUCUCCAGCUUGCUAAAAUCUGAAUCCUGUCACCUACAAUGUUGGUUUUGGUGGGGGCUUUUUUUUGUUUUGUUUUGUUUUGUUUUGUUUUUGUUUUUAUUACAAAAACAAAUUAUAGAUUGGAAUCUCUGAGGCAGCCCUCUUCGCUGGGCUGCCCCAACAUGUUCUGCAAGGCAUAUCCCUCCUUCGUUCUUUGUCUCUGCCAAGCCACCCUAAUCAGGCCUUGAUGAGUCACGCCCCUGCUUCCAGUAGCUCCCACUGGCAACCUCAAUCCCUUGAGUUUGGCCAGCACAGCACCUCUGCUUCAGCGUUUGUGUGACUGGGCAAACGCCAUAGUUAUCACACCAUCCGCCCUCCCUUCAGCUCAUUGCAUCAGUAAUAGUGCUCCCUAUGCCCGAGGACAGACCUUUAGCUGGAAGCCCAUGAGCGAAGCCCUAUCUCUGUGUUCUGGGGUUGUUAGGACAUGGGCAUACCUAAAUCAUUCAGAGCAGAUAUCCUCUCGGUCACAGGGCAGAUAUCAGGACCUGGCCAAUGAGAAAGAAGAUGAGGACUCUCUCUCUUGCCCGGGUUCCCGAAGGGUGUUCUGGAAUCUAAGCACCAUAGGCAUUUCAUCCUGUCCUUAUGCUACAUGACCAUCACCACCCCCAGGAGGCCAACUCGCCAUGGUGCCCUUCGGAAAACCUGGAAUCCCAAUCAUGGCCAUGAGAUACAGAACAGUAUGUGCUGGCUGGGUCUGUGGCAAUGUGGUUGGUAGAAUUCCCUGGAGAAAGAGGUCUCACUAGACGCCCUCCUCGUUUCAGUCACUGCACCCACCUGGUGUAGCUGCAUGUGUUUUGGGGGUGCCAGACUAUACUGUUAAACCUACUAAGUCAGUGUCUUAGUUAGGGUCUUACUGCUGUGAACAGACACCAUGACCAAGGCAACUCUUGUAAGAACAUUUAAUUGGGGCUGGCUUACAGGUUCAGAGGUUCAGUCCAUUAGCAUCAAGGCAGGAGCAUGGCAGCAUCCGGGCAGGCAUGGUGCAGGAAGAGCUGUGUUCUACAUCUUAACCCGAAGGAAGCCAGGAACAGACUGAGCAGUCCCAGGCAGCUAGGAGAAGGGUCUCUAAGCCCACCCCCAUAUUGACAGACUUCCAGCAAGGCCACACCUUCUAAUGCCACUCCCUGGGUCAAGCAUACGCAAACCAUCACAGUCAGUAUUCUCUGAAUUUGCACAUGCAAGUACCAGAAAUGUUAAGAGGGAUCCUAGUAUGGGAGGGCAGGAGCAAGAGAGAAAAAAAACAGAAAAGUGGCCUUGAUGACCAAUUCUAGGUGGGCUAGUGUGCCCAAUUGUUUAGUCAAACCUGGUAAUGUCUGUGGAGGCACUUAAAUUUAUUAUUAUUAUUAUUUACUAUUAAUCAUUAAUUACUAUUAUAUUUUGCCAGAAUUAAUCAUAAAUAUUGAUAUUUAAAAUAGUAGGUGCUGAGUAAACGAGGCUUCAUCUAAUCAGCUGAAAGCUAUCAGGGCAGAACAAGGAUUCUCUCAGAAGGACAGAGACCUCAGCCUGACGGCACAGAAACCAGCCUGAGUUUGCGACCUGAAUACACUCAACUCCUUAGGGAAACACUGGUAUAUCAUUCGGUGUAUAGAGUGUGGACUCCUGCUCCCCAGUUCCCCCCUGUAUGUGUGCAAGGGCUUGCUCCCAUGUGCGCACACGGAGGACAGAGAAGCGUGUCAAGUGUCCUGUUCUCUCACUCUCUACUCUAGUCCCUUGAGACUCCCUCUCUCUAAACUUGGGCUAAGGCAGGCAGCCAGCAAGCCCCAGCAGUUCCCUGUGUGUGCCCUCACAGCCUUGUGGUUGCAGAUGGGCACGCAGCCAUCCGUGCCUGUCUCUGCGUAAGCAUUGUGGAUUCGAAUUCAGGUCCUCGAGCUUAGGGAGCAAGCGUUCUUACCCGACGAUCCACCUUCCCAUCCCUGUGAAAGUUGGGUCUUUAAGAUACGUCGCUCACGGGGUGCAGGCUCUGGCCUGUAAUUAGAGCACUUACACUGGGGAGCCCUGUGUCCACAGCCAGUUUGAGUUGCAAAACCCUGACUCAAAAAUCCCCAAAUUCUUCAAAAUGAAAUGAAGAUCCCGGAGCAGUGAUUGAGAACCCACUUCCUUCCAGAGAACCCAAGCUUGGUUCCCAGUACCCACAUCAGGUAACUCACAGACCCCUGUAACUAUGGGGGGCUGGUUCAGUUCCCACCUCUGGCCUCUUUGGGACACACACACACACACACACACACACACACACACACACACACACAUAUUUAAAAAUAUAAAAGGGCCCAUGAGAUGUAUCAGUGGAUGAGGGUCCCCAUACCUGACGUCCUGAGGUCAGUCCUUGGGACACACAUGGCUUAAGGAGAGAACUGACUCCUGCAAACUGUUUUUAACUUCCGCCGCACGGUGCUGCAAGCAUCCUCACUCUCCCAGAUAGGGGUGGGAGCAGGGGAUCCAGGCAUGGUGGCUCACGCCUGUCAUCCAAGCAAUUGUGGGACUAAGGCAGUAGUAGACUUGCACUAGGAAGUCCAAGGCCAGCCUGGGCUCCAUAUAGAGACCCUGGCUCAGAAAACUAUAAUAAGGGCUGGAGAGAAAGCUCAUCAGUUAGAACAUUAGCUGCCCUCCCAGUGGGCUUGGCUUCAAUUCUCAACACAUCGGUACAAUACCCGUACACAUGAAAGGAAAAUAAAUAAAUCCUUUGAAACAUUGAUAAUAAUAAUAAUAAUAACAACUAAUGGUGAUAAUUCCCUAUAUAGACAUGUUAGUUUCCUUUAACUUGAGGAUGUCAGUGAACCCUGUGACACCAUAUUUGUUCACUGGGAUGGAACGGACCCUGGGACAUUGAUUUCAGAGGCGAUGCUGGGGUAAGAGAACGUGUCCUUAGGCUCUAAAGGUUUUGAAGCACAGUUCAGAAAAGAAGCCAAGAUAAGGUCAUGAAGUCAGAUUAGGUAGACGCUGCAAGGUGACUGACAGGAAGUCUAAGGCAGGCAGAAGAGCCCUCCUCUCAGGACCAGUGAUUAUGACAGGAAUCUCCUUUUCUAAAGGAGGCCUGAAGGUGGAGGGAAACCUGAUGGGAUUCUGGUGAGCUGAGGUGGAGCCCGGUGUCUUGCAACAGGCUACAAGAGAGGGAAGCAGCAACGGGAGCUACGGAUUAAUGCCCAUGGAAACUUCUAGAAGCUUUCUAAGAGCAAUGCACACCCGGUCCUGGGUGGAGAAGGAGACUUAGUCACAUGAGAGCUCAGCGAUACAGGGUGACCCUGAGUCUCCAACAACACGAGUCCCUUUUCCUGCCUGGAGUGGCCUGGGGACUGAUGAGUGGGAGCCUCCAUGGUAGCACCUGGGAGCUUAGGGCAGAGAUGGUUUAGUUUCCCCUCCUCUAGCUACUCAUGCCCUUUCUCGGUUCUCUCUUGAUAGGGGGAACACCUCCCCAGUGUUUUUAUGGCGUCUGACAAAGACAUUUAAAAGGGACCACAAGGCAGUUGGGCAGUGUUAACAGCCCUGCGAAAGCCCUCAGCACAGCUGAACAAAGACACCACAUGACACCACUAAUCACUUCCAGGCCUUCUCCAUAUUCUCAUGUCUAUGUCCGCUUGGACUUCCCGUAGGACCAAGUGUGAAGGACAGCAGGUUACCGUGGCAAGUCCUCUCAGCCUUGCCGCAAAGCAGACCUGUAGCCUCUCCGGGAACUUUUGACUUCCUGGCUCUUGCUGUGAAUCUCAUGGCAGAGAUCCUGCAGGAAACUGGGUCAGAGGACCCAGUGACUUCCAACUAUAGCUGAACCAUGAGAACCAGACUCCAGAAAACUCUUCUCAUGAAGGUUUGAGAGCACCAUCAGGUCAGAGUAGAACUACUCUGUGUUAUAACGUACUCAUGAUGAGGGGUUCCAAUCUAAUCCCUGAAGCAAAGCUUGGAAAGGUAACACCAAGUCAAAUAACAGUAACAAACAAGAAUAACGUGUUUGCGUUGCUCUGCGGCUCACGGUGCAUGUUCAUGGUUGCUGCUGUGUUGUACUGACAUCUCUAGUCCCUCCAGACCUGAGGCACAAAGAGGCCAAACUGGUGAGGCUGCCCAUCUUGGCUUUUUGGCCUUCACAACUGUGGGCUAAAGGGGUCAGGGGCUGUUUCUCCGUUUAUAGAAUGCUGUCUACAAUGCAUGGGGCUCUGGGUUCCACUCUCAGGACUCUGUAACCUGGGAGUGGUGGUACAUGUUUAUCAUCCCAGCAUGGGAAGAGAAGGCAGGAGGAUCAGAAGUUGAAGGUCAUCCUUGCCUACAUAGGGAGCUCGGAGCCAGCCUAGAAUAGGUGAGCGCCUAUCUCAAACUAAUUAAAACAAAACUGUGAGAUAAACAGAAGUUUUCUUUAUGAAGUACCCAGCCAUGGGUAUUAGUGGGGACAAUUCAAUCCAUAUACGUUUGGCAGAAAAGUAUUCCAAGGAGAGGUCACACACAAAGAUCCUGAGGUAGGAGCAUGCUUGGCAAUUUGAGGAACAAGGAAGCCUGGCUGUCAAAACAGAAUGAGCAAAAACAGCAGCCCUGCCCGGGAGGUGGGAGAGCCUUGUAAGCCUCUGCAUUUGACACUAAAGGAGACUUUUUUUUGUAAAGGGCACCAGAGGGAUGUUAGUAAGGGAGAAAGAAGAUCAACGAUCAGACCUACGUUAAAAGGAAAUUAAAGGGUUCGUUGUUGUUGUAUGUGUGGGUGUUUUUGUAUGGAUGUCUGUGCAUCCCCUGUGUGCAAUGCCCAUGGAGGCCAGAAGAGGGCAUCGGACACCCAGGAACUGGAGUUACAGGUGGUUGUGAGGCACCAUGUGGGCACUGGAAAUCAAACGUCCCUCUUCUGGAAGAGCAGCCUCUUCACUGCUGAGCUUCCACUCCAUUCCCCAGGCCCACAUUUUAAAGACUCCUCCAUCUGCCCGGUUUGAGAAUAAGCUUCAGAGGACAUGGGCAGGACCUGGAAGAAGGGCUAUGAAGCAUCUGAGGUAUUCUACACGAGGCCCGGAAGUGGCUCUACCCAGUUUCCAACAUGUUGUUUGUCCUCUUCCUAUUUAUUUGAGACAGGGUCUCCUAUAUCACAAGCUGGUCCAGAACUAGCCACAUCGCUAAGGGUGGCCUUGCACUUUUGAUCCUCCCAAAAACUAGUCCUGCACAAGGAUGUGCUGAUUAACCAGAUAGUUAUGAUAAAACCCUAGCGAGGUCGCUCCCAGGCUUAUGGCCCAGGCAAUGGGAAGGCCUUCUCGACUUGCAUGAAGAUUGGGAAAACAGAGGGGAGGGGACAUGAGAACAGGAGCUCCAUUUCGGGUAUAUCAUAAUGGGUUUGAAAAACCAACUAGACAGCUCACUGGAUUGGAUGAACGAGCUGCUUGACACAGGGUGGUUGGCCCUUAAAGGGGAAGCUGAACCUAGAGAUGGUUUGGAGGACAUCUGUAUGUGUGUAUGAUUCAAACACUUGAUGGUUUGUGAAAUGAUCAGAGAGAAAUGUGGGCAGAAAUGAAUGAGUCCAGAGGCACUCUAAUAGGAGGGAUGGGAAGGCAGUCAGAUGGGUGGCAGGGUAGCAAUCAUUUCUGCAAGCAAAGCGAAGACAUGUCCUUUUUGCACCUGAUCUAGUCACAAGGGACAUACCAUCUCAAGUCACCAAGCAUUAAGCAGCACUGAUUGUGUUAAUCCCUCUGUAAGGCCAAGAGGUAAGCCACCCUGCCCUCAACCUGUUUCUGAGAAGACUAAACGCAAAAGCUUUAGCGAGAGAGGGAGAUACCAUUUCAGUUUAAGCCAUCAGACCCUAGCCCAUAUUCUUUGUGUGUGUGUGUGAGGAGGGGGAGGGUGGGGACAUGGGUAAGCAUAGGUGUAUGUGUGCAUUGUGUAUGCAAGUGCAUCAAAUACACUUGACCGUGUGUGUGUGUGUGUGUGUGUGUGUGUGUGUGUGUGUGUGUGUCCUCUAUUGCUCUCCACGUUACUUUUGAGUCAAGAUCUCUUCUCCAACAUGAAGCACAACGAUUAGCUAGAUUGGUUGGCCAACCAGCCUGCCUCCCAGUGCAGUUUCCAUUGUGUACCAGCCUUUCUGCAGAGGUCACACCGUGUACCGUCAAACCCAGCUUUCUUGCAUGGGUGCUAAGAUCCGAACACGGGUCUUCACGCUUUCACAGCGAAGACUCUACCAGCUGAGUCACGUCCCCAGUCCCUGUUCCUUACCAGGAGGCACAUGCAUGAGGGACAUAUUAGCCGAACAAUUUAAUGAAGAUAAUGAUGCCCAGUGAUCAGGUGGGAGUCUGGUUGGAAGCUCUCUCUCUCCAGUUGCCAUUCUUACACAUGCCCUCUCUUUGCUGCUCCAACGUCUGGGAUUCAUCUGGGCCAUGGAGCAUCCCAAUCUCAUCCCAUUGGUCCACAACCUCAGCAGACACCACAAGAGAAACACCUGGGGCUAACUGGGUGACCUGGUUUGCCACUGACACCUUGACUAAGUUCCUUCUCCAGCUAGAAAGUUGUGGUUUGACCAACUCUUCAUGACUUCCAUGUUUUGGGUUUUUUUUUUAAUGGAUCUAUUGGCUCCAGGGCAAAGAUAUAUGGUUCGUCAGAAAAUAAAAGAAAUUUUAUACAUAGAACGUCUUCCCUUCCUCUAUUUGUGGAUCAUAUUUUUAUUUCCAACGGUGUCAUUUAUUCCCUAAGGUCAUUGAUGAAAUCAGUGAGCUUGCACAGGGUACCGUAUUGUAUUGAUACCCAAUGAAAAACAGCCUUUGAUCCCCCAGCAGGAGGCGCCCUGUAGGACCCUGCUCUCUAGGAGUGAGUACAGCAGGGGGCGCCCUGCUCUCCCAUGUUUCAGAGGGACUCCUUGUUACCCACAUUCGCAUAAUAGCUGAAAAUGUUUAUUUGGUAUAACCCAGCCCCCUGUUAUCAUACACCUAGUGCUUUUUUGGGGUCAGAACCCUGUCGUGGAGCUCCUUUAUGGGGUGAAUACAUAGCACUGUGUUUUGUUGUCUUAAUAAUUAAGAGAACCGUACACAAUGCCCUGAGAUGCUCACGGUCUACGAAGAUUCCCCAGCCCUGUGUGGCAGCUGUUGUGUGCAGCAUAAGCGUACUCCCAAUGGAACUUAAGACUUAGGUCUCAGCACAGGAUUCCCCUGUCCCCAGGAGAACAGCCUCAGAGAAAGAACAGGAAAGUUCUCUCAGAAGUUUGAACCAGGAAGCCUUCAAGUUUCCUUGAUAAAAUGUGGACACAGUGCC